rnacentral:rRNA from 1 species
UGGGGAAUUUUGGACAAUGGGCGCAAGCCUGAUCCAGCAAUGCCGCGUGAGUGAAGAAGGCCCUUGGGUUGUAAAGCUCUUUCGUUUGGGAAGAAGGAAUUGUGGUUAAUACCCAUGAUGACAGACGGUACCAAAAUAAGAAGCACCGGCUAACUACGUGCCAGCAGCCGCGGUAAUACGUAGGGUGCAAGCGUUAAUCGGAAUUACUGGGCGUAAAGGGUGUGUAGGCGGUUUGUUAAGUCUGAUGUGAAAUCCCCGGGCUCAACCUGGGAACUGCGUUGGAAACUGGCAAACUAGAGUAUGUAAGAGGGGGGUGGAAUUCCACGUGUAGCAGUGAAAUGCGUAGAGAUGUGGAGGAACACCGAUGGCGAAGGCAACCCCCUGGGACAAUACUGACGCU